rnacentral:rRNA from 1 species
AUUAUGGUUAGCCAAAAUAUUGUUUUGGAUGUUUUUAAGGGUAGUAGUUUAUAAGGGAAACGUUUAAAGUUUUAGAGCUAUAGGGAGAGUACUGAGAAGGAAUAUUGAAAUAAAAGUGAAAUAUUUAGAGUUAGAGAAGAAAGUGUUAUAAUACUGUACCUUUUGUAUAAUGGUUUAGUAAGAAUGAGAAUGGAGGGUGUAGAUUCUACCCGAAGUUAAAUGAGCUAAUGUGGUCUUCUUGUAAGAAGAAAAACGAUUACUGUUGCAGUAGUAAAGUUGGAGGUUACGUUAGUUGUGAAAUGCUUAUCGCAUUUAAGGAUAGCUGGUUUUCUUGGAGAUUGGUGUAAGCUGAAUUUUUAUGUUUUCUGGAGAAUUUUUUGGUCUAAAUGGACAAUAUUAGGUUUUUUGGAAACAAUAAUGUGUUUAGACAAGUGGGGAUAAGCUUGCUUGUCAAAGAGGAAAAAGCUUUUUUUGUAGGUUAAAAUAGGUUAACACUUUGCUCUUUGUUGUGUAGUAGGAUUAAUAUCAUCUAUCUGAGGAGAUGGCGUUAAAGCUUGUUUUUAUUGAGAAGUGGAGUGGAAAAUAUAAAGUUGUUGAGAUUUGAGACUGCAAAUGUUCUACAGGAAAUUCCCAUGGUUUAUUGGGAGUUAUAAUGCUAAGAUGAGUAAGGAUUGCUGGGAUUUUUUGUGUAUUAAGCAACCCUAACUUUGGAUGGAGAGGUCAUAUGAUAAGCGGGAAGUCAGACUUUUGUAGUGUUUGUUUAUUAUUGUUUGCUAACACAAGUGGUCUUUAGUUUUUAAAGUGGGAAAAAGGAAUUCGGCAAAUAUUUGAUUUCGCCUGUUUACCAAAAACAUCGCCCUUUGAAAAGAAGUAUUCUUAAUAUAAGGGGUACUGCCUGCCCGGUGACUUGGUUAAACGGCCGCGGUAUUUUGACCGUGCGAAGGUAGCAUAAUCAUUUGCCUUUUAAAUGGGGGCUGGUAUGAAUGGCAAGACGAAAAUCAGACUGUCUCUUUCUUAUUUUCUUGAAUUUAAUUUCUUCGUGAAGAAGCGAAGAUGGAGUCGCGGGACGAGAAGACCCUGUCGAGCUUGAGUGGAGCUUAUUUAGAUAUUUUGAGGACGCUUGAUUGCUAAUUAAUUGGCAUUUGUUUGUUAUAGUGGUUUUACUUUUCAGGUGGUUUUGUCAUGUGUAGGUUGUUUUGGUUGGGGUAAUCGCGGAGAAAAAGAAUCCUCCGUUAAGAGGGACUUAAAAAAUGAUUUUUUUGUGGUCUGGUCAUUGUGUUUGUGUGAUCCAUUGAAAUGAUGAUUAUAAGAAUAAGUUACCGCAGGGAUAACAGCGUAAUUCUUUUAGAGAGUUCAUAUUGAGAAAGGAGUUUGCGACCUCGAUGUUGGAUCGAGAUUUCCUGGGGGUGCAGUAGUUCCCGAGGGUUGGUCUGUUCGACCAUUAAAAUCUUACGUGAUCUGAGUUCAGACCGGCGGGAGCCAGGUCAGUUUCUAUCUGCGAUUGUUUUGAAAUACUUUCUUUAGUACGAAAGGAUUGAGAAGGGUGUAUCUACGCUUAAAGGUGAAUACUUUGAAAUGUUCUGUUAAUGAAUUGAAGAGAAUU